rnacentral:lncRNA from 1 species
CUGAGAAAGGUUGUUUUUGAAUAAAUUCUAUGUAUUCGGGGUCUAUCUCAAAACUAGAUGUUAUGAUAGGCUUUGAAGAUUUUGGUGGUUCUAGAUGUGUGCCCAUAGGUCUAUGAAAUUCAUAGAUAGACAUGUUUGAAUUCAUAAUAGACCAGAGAUCAAGGAUUAGAUAAGAAGAAAGAAUAGCAGAGAUGAGGCAAAGGAUAAAAGGAAAAUAUUUUUUUUAUUUAUUUAUUUUUUAUAAAAUGAUUAAACUAGUUCGUAGUCAACUCAGCAACCGUUUCCCCGGCAACGGCGCCAAAAAUGCUUGUUGACACUUGCUAACACCACUUGAAUACUAGGUUAUCAUCCCCAGCGUGGCACUAGAGUGUACUAUGGUAUUUAUACGCACACAGAUAAUCCGCAAGCGCACGGAUACCGUUGAAGCUUUUACCCGGUUAAAGGUUUUAUCGUAUCCACAGGGAAACGGGAGAACUGAUCUACGCUCUAACUUAACUAAGAUAAGUAAAUAGGUGUGAAUAGGAAAGAUGGUAGAAUCGAAUAAGAACAAUAUUAAAGGUAAGAUAACAGUGAGUGAUAAUAUGGGAAUAGAGAGUAGAGCAAUUAUAGUAUAUGGGUGAUGGUAGCAGAAUAGAGAGGAUAACUAUGGUUUCUCUACUUCAAAGGGGUAUGUCUAUGUCUGGGACGAACCACGUGAUAAGAGUACACCACAAAGGAUGCAUAUCCAUAGGCCGAUAAACCCUACCCGUCCUGCUAACGAGAGGUGGACUACAGGGGACCAACGUAACUGUCACCUACGUGGCCUACCACACGAUCUAGCUAGUCAGGGGAUAUCCACAAGUAAUCUAGGUCUAAGCACCACGCUUACACCUAUACUACAACUCUAACCUAUAGGGUCCUAUAGAUUAGAAGUACUCAAAAGAGUUGUGAACCAGAAUAUACAUGAUUAGUAAUUGCAUAAUGAAUUAGAAGUAGAUUACCAGAGUCAUCCCAUGAGCAAGCUUGAUUAGAGCUUGAUCAUGGUGAAGUACAACCGGAGGAAGAACCGACAGGCCGGCCUCUCCUCUAAUCCUCCUUCGGUCUCCAUCUCGCUACUAUCUAGAUCUACUCUAGUUUAGAGAAGAGAGGAGAGCUCUCAUCUCUAAACCCUAGCUUUUGCUCUGUCUAUGAAUAAUGAAUAAUGAUCAAGGGGUGCCUCCUCCAGGGGCCAGGGGGUCUGGUUUUAUAGUCCCCUCAAGUGAACCUGGGUCGUCGGAUCAAACCGACAUUGAUUGAACGGUUAUUCUUGAUCCUUUAGGUCGGUGGAGCAUAAUCCGCGAGAUUGAGCGUGAUUGGCCGAAAAAGGUGGGCGGGCGCACUAAGGACUUGGGCGGGCGCCCUGUCCCUGACUCCGUUCGGUCUCCGCUUCCUUCCCGUGGCUUCUGGAGUCUUCUAGAUGUAAGAUAAUUGCGCGGCACGUUGAUAUCUCUAUGUAAUCCCGACGUGUGGGCCUUUCUUCCUUAUUUCCUGAUAACCCCCUGCAGAAAUAGACAAACACCAAAACUCGUGGAAUUCUGUCAGAUAAAACCCUAAGUCUCGAUGUUGAUUUCAUUUGGAUCCUUUUCUUUGUUUAUUUGAUAGUUAAAUUUGAUACUUAAGGACCGUCAACAGGGGAUACAUACAUUUCUUGCACUUUGAAGCUUUUUGAGGAGAAUGAGAUGCUCUAUAUUUUCUUUUUCUUUCCUCUCAGGUGGGUACCUUGUACCCCUAAUUCUACUGUCAGACACUUGUCCAUUUUUACCUCUCGUCUUACUUUUUCUUUUCUUCGAGGUUUCGGGCACUUGCCCCUUUUUAUUUCCUCAUAUAUUUUUUUUUCUUCUUUUUUUUAGAGCACUCAUCUCCUAAAAUAAUAUAGCAAGUGGUAGUAACCAAAAGAACUGGAGCAUUUAUUUCAUUGGGAAUAACAAGGAUAGAAAAAUGUUUUUGGCUAUUCUCUCCCGGAUUAGGAGUAGAAUAAUUUUGGGUGAAUCUGGAGAUGGAAAUGAGUGGAUGUAUGUGGAUGCGUACUUCUGGAAUAGAAGCAACAUAUACGAGUGACCAUGCAAGUGAAUCUUGAUUUUAACCACAUGACAAGCUCCUAAGGGUCUACACAGCUUGACCACACUCAAUGCUCAUAAGCAGUAAAAAGUAAAUAUAUGGUUCAUAGUCUAAUAAUCAUGUAUAUGUGGCUGUGGUAGGAUUUUAAACUCUCAUCAUACAAGAAAUCAUCGUUUGUUAUUUUAAAGAUUUUCAAAGAUAAAAUUCUCCAGAAUUCUAGCAUCUCCAGAAAUAGAUAAACAGCAGCUCAACCUUCCCAUAUCAUAUCCGUUAACGACUUAGACUUUAGAUCAAGUACUCUUCCCACAAGUUCAGGUUUAGAGCAAAUCUUAACUCAUAACAGUUAUGCCUAAACUUGAGAGAGAUUUCAAUUUUAAGAACUAGUCAUGGCAGAGCAACUAUUCAUCAUUUCCAUGUGAGAGCUUAUCAUGAAGGUUCAUAGCAAACUUUAUUUAUUUAGCAAACUAAGCAAAGAUAUAUAUAAAAGCACAAAAUCUUUAUUUGGGUUUUUAUGAUUAUGCAUCUUUUUAUUAUUUGAGUAAAGUAUAAAUGCGAGUAGAAACACUUAGCUCGAUAAAUGGGGGUGCUCUCCCCCAAGCUGGAUUUUGACGUAAUUUCUUCUGAUGUAGCUAGCAGGUGACGGAGGUAUAUUUGAAUGUCGGCAGCACCCUGACAGCGAUUAGGAUGUCCUCCGUCUGCUAGUCUUCUUUGAUCCUUGAAUUCUAUGGAGCUCAAAUAGACAACAAAGCUUUGUGGAACUGGUUAAGUGUUAGCAUAAAUAUCUAGCCUUUAUCAUGUUGAGCCUCCUCAAUAAAUGUUAUUUAUUUAGCAGGAUCAUGCACUUAUUAUUUUUAUAUUUUUAUUAUAAGAUGAAAACAUAUUUAUUUUAUGCCACCACAGUGAAUGUACCUAUCGGUUUUAUGCCAUGAGCAUACUCACAUGGGGCUUACUAUUUUUAACAUUUUUAUUUUCUUUUCGAGAUGAUAUGAAUCCUGAUUAACUAAGCAAACUAUAAUUGAAUAAUUGAAAGGAAAAGGAUAACUACCAAGUUUACCUCUUGGCAAGGCGUUCGAUGUUUUUAAGUCAUCCGAACGGGACUCUUUGUUUUCUCAGUUGUCCUGGGAUUCGCUGGAUGGCGUAGUCGGUGAUUCCGGUGGCGCCUCCUCUUCGUGUAUAACUAUCUUCUCCCUCCACACGUGACUCGGUGCUACGGUCUCCUCAGAAUAGUUCUGUUCAAGUUGUAUGUCUUCAGAGCUUACCAUUUCUCCUUCAUAGUCUGCCCAUCCGUCCGUGAUGAUUUGCCUCAUGUGAUUUCGGUUGCGUCGCCUUCUUCUUGUCCUGACUUGCUUAGAAUCUUCAACUAUAUAGUUAGAAUCAUUAAAGUAGUUGUGUACCUUCUCAGAGGGGAAGUGCAUGUGGACUUCUCCGGUUCCAAUGUAGAUGAUGGCUUUGAUAGUGUUGAGGAACGGUCUUCCAAGGACGGUAGGUGGAUCAUACUCGUCUUUUCCCAUGUCAAUGACCUGAAAAUCGUCUGGAGCUGAAUGUAUCUUGGUUGUAGGAGCAUGGUUCUAUGCAGGAGCUGAUAAGUGACUGCGGCCAUUAUGUUGUCGUCAGAUCCGGUGUCGUAGAGUGUCUUCUGAAAAGAGUAUCCAUUGAUUGUGCACUCAAUGCUUGGAACACCAGGGUUGUCCUUCUUGAUAAGGAAAGGCGACUUGAGUCGACGAUCUUUGACCUCUUUGAACUGCAGUGACCAUCUUAGCUGACUCGGUCCACAUUUGCUUGUUCCUGUUCCUCCUGUUGGUCUUCUUGCUUCGUGUCGGGAUUGCUCUGAAGUUUGUGUAGUCUUGUUCUUGAAGGAAAGUCUCCUUCUUCCCCUUGAUGUAGAAACUGAUCUUGGCAGCAUUAACAUAGAUGACAGCUCUGGUGUUUAGGAAUGGCCUCCCUAAGAUGAUGGAUGCCCUCUCCUCAGUACCAGUUUCUAUCACCACGAAGUCUGCUAGAGCGUACAAGGUACCAACUCGGACGCAGAGGUUCUUCAAUAUUUCCUUUAGGAAACUGAGUGUCCGAUCUGCAACCCUGGGCAUAAUGUUGACGCUGGAGCCAAAGUCGCAGAGUGCUUCUAGGAAGUCCACCAUGCCGAUGGAGAUCGGGAUGACGGGGCGUCCUGGAUCACCUCUCUGAGUAAUUAGGCCUCUGUUGAUUCCAACCUUAAUUUUGUUGAGGACGGUUGUAGUAAUAGUUGUUAUUGUUGUUGAUGUAGUUCAUGUCCUCAAGCAUCUCAGGGCAGUGAUUGCCUGAGUGUCCAAUAUCUCCAGUGUGUUUGUGCUCGUAGAUCCUGGUUCUUCACUUGGUGGAGUCUGGGAGUUGUAAAACUCCUUCAUAUUAUGCUCAAAGUGUUUCUGCUCAUAGAGACAAGGCAGAGAUCAAGUGCAUGGGCCCUGUUGGUGGAAAAUACCAAUAGAACCAAAAGUGUAUUUGUUCUUCUCUAACCUUAAGCAUAGUGAGCAGGACAAAGUUGAUGGAUCAUGAGUGUAGCAUUUGUCAGAUCAGAUGGCUCAACCUAAUGGAAAGAUAAUCAAUCUAUAUUUAUGUUUUGUUUAUAUCUUCCAAAGAUUGAAUGUGCAACAUAUUAGCUUAUAUGAUUAGGAGUGUGGGAUCACGAAGGUAGUACUAAGAACAAAGAUUAAAGAGCUAAACAUGUUGAAUUAAUUAGGUUGGUUAAUUUAGAGUUAUAAAUCAUACAUGUUUGUCUCUUUAUUUAUGUGAAUGCCAGAACCAGGGAGAAGCUUAUAAAAGCGAUAGUCACGUACCUUAAGAUGUUACCUUACUUGAAGAGUGAUGGUAUAGUAUCACCUUGUGGAAGCUUUCCUUUCUUAGUGGUUGUGCAUCGUGUUUGUGGCACCCUCCAUGGAUCAUCUCUUUAUGAUGAAUGAGCUAUGUCUUCCUCGUGCAAGUUGUUAAAUUUCAUGUGUCUCCUUUAUCUCCAAUGAGCUUGUAGCUCAGGACUUCCCAGGUUAAUAUUGAAAGUUUUCCUGCAGGGGUUAGUCCGACAAAAUAUACCAAUGCCUACUCAAGCAGUUUUUAGUUCAAUAACCAAACUAGACUCCAUGUCUAAUCAGAUUAAGGAAGGCUAUUUAACCUAAGCACCAUGCUUAAUUUAAAUGCCGAUGGAAGUAUGUCGAGUACUUCCAAACCAACACUUACUAGGAUAAACAAAGGUAGCAUGAUGGCAUUUAUAGAGAUCUACUCAAGUGGAGAUGAAAAAUAAGUUUAGUGUUUAGAAAAAUUGAGCAUGCCUCAAAAGUAGGGACAACCAACAUAGCAAUAUGGCAAAGGAUGUUUUUAUGUAAAGUACUCCCCCAAGCUUGAAUUUUGCAAAAUUCAAGACUGGAUGAAUUUAAUUCAAUGUUGCAUGAUGAUUGGUUGGUCAUACCUUGCGCUUGUUAUUCCUCGGAUCUUCUUGCUCCAAUCUUGGAAAGGUUAGUGGCAAGAAUACCCGAAGGAAUAUUUCUACAAUUAUCUUUAUAUGCUCAAUACACAAGGCAAUGUUGUAAAUAAUUAGAAGUUCAUGAUCAGUGCUUGUUUUAGGACACUAAGCUUUGGGAAACCAUCAAUUUAUGUCAGCGACGUGGUUUCCCCUCCAACGCCAACCUAUAUCAAAAUCCAACUCAACGAGAUCUGCAAUAUUUAUUAUAUACAUAUGCAUCGACAACCGCUCUUUUAAAGUUGUUAUAAAUAGAAAGGAAGAGAGGGUUGGAGAUCUCAAAUGUGGUGAUAGCACAUGGAUUUUUAAUGCCCUCUAGCCAUUGAUGUUGCUCUUCUCGAUCCUCCUUGUGGUCUUGGUGACUCUUAUGAAUGGGAUGUCUAGAGAAAUUCAUAGGCUUAUCGGGAGGUUCAAAAGAAAGAGCAUAGUAGAAAUUAUUAGACUCAAGGAUGGGAUGGAUAGCCGAAUCAUGGGAUUGAAAUGUUUGGAAAUUGGCUAUUGAAACUUCCUUUCCUUGUCUGGGAGAUGAUUCCUUCUCUAUCUCUAAGAUUUUUCUAUGAAGACUAGUACAAGAAGGAUGUCCACGAAUGAAGACAUACCUUCCUUUACUGAUAGAUAAAGAAAGAAAGACUCUACCAAAGGGUAUAUGAUUAAGACUAAUGUAAAAAUAUAGAGAAAAAACAUGGUCUUGUUGGGCUAGGUUUAAACUAGAAUUUAUAGAAAAAUUAAAAGAUUCCCUAGGUGUAGCUAAAAGUGCAUUAUCUUCUUGAUUAAAAGAUAGGACCUCAGCUAUAAAAAAGGGUUGGUUUUGACCUAUUGCAAUCAACUCCGGACACAAAUCAUAAUUAGGGGCAGGACUUGUUAACUCCCAUGGUCUAUGGCUGGUCUCCGAAUGUGCAAAGAAUUUAAUAAUAGGUAUGGAAUUUAAGUUAUCCAUAAAGAUAAAAGUAAAAAGAUAAAAGAAUAAAAGUAUAAAAGUAUAAUACAAGAUAAUAGCAAGACUCAAAGUUAUCUUAGCAAACCGUCUUUCUCUCCGGCAACGGCGCCAGAAAUGCUUGUUGAUAUUUGGUAACGCAAUAAGGAAAUGAUCCGCAAGCGCACGGAUAUCGUUGAGCAUUUCACCCGAGAGGUUAUCCAGAGUAUCGUAUUUAUAUUUUUACCACUGGGAGAAAGGGUGCAUCUGACUAACCAAAUCUAUUGAUACUAUCCCUUUAGGCUACAAAGAAUGUUUCUCGAUGUGAGUGAUGUAUAGAGAAGACUGCAACCGUAGUCUCGUUCUAACCUUGGUAAGGAUCAUCUAAUGUUCUAUUGGGGAAGCUUACGGAAUCUAGACACCACAAAGGAUGUUCGACCCGCACCUAUAAACCCUACCCGUCCUGCUAACAAGAUAUGGGAUACAAAGGUAACACGGAAAUGUCACGUUCCUCGCUACUACCACGGUCCAGCUAGUCAGGGGAUAUCUAUGAGUACCCUAGACUAAACACCACGUUUACGCUAGCAAUGAUUACUCUAAUACUCAACCGGAAGAGGACUAAAGUAAACUCAUAAACCAAAGAACAAUAAAACAAGAACUUACUAGAAUUAGAAGUCGAAUUACUGAAGAGUCCUAGGAGCAAGCCUCAGGUUAGAAGACUUGAUCCUGCAGGUACAACUCGGAGUAGACACCGACAGGCCGGCCUUCCUCCGAUCUACACCUCCACUCUAUCUCUCUCAAUCUAGUAGAAACUAGAAGAUCUAUUUCUACUCACAUUGGUUGCUAAGCCUAAAAAGAAAUAUUAUUUAGAGAAGAGGUUUUCCUUCGAGGGCACCCCUCAACUCUAUGAUAACUUCUUGUCUUCUCCAGUGGCCAAGGGGGUCUCCAUAUAUAGUCCUCCUCCUCCAUGCAUUUUUGGGUCGGUAGGCUGUUGACACUUGCUAACACCACUUGAAUACUAGGUUGUCAUCCCCAGCAUGGCACUAGAGUGUACUAUGGUAUUUAUACGCACACAGAUAAUCCGCAAGCGCACGGAUACCGUUGAAGCUUUUACCCGGUUAAAGGUUUUAUCGUAUCCACAGGGAAACGGGAGAACUGAUCUACGCUCUAACUUAACUAAGAUAAGUAAAUAGGUGUGAAUAGGAAAGAUGGUAGAAUCGAAUAAGAACAAUAUUAAAGGUAAGAUAACAGUGAGUGAUAAUAUGGGAAUAGAGAGUAGAGCAAUUCUAGUAUAUGGGCGAUGGUAGC